rnacentral:rRNA from 1 species
UACAGAGGUCCCAAGCGUUGUUCGGAUUCAUUGGGCGUAAAGGGUGCGUAGGCGGCGCGGUAAGUCGGGUGUGAAAUCUCGGAGCUUAACUCCGAAACUGCAUUCGAUACUGCCGUGCUUGAGGACUGGAGAGGAGACUGGAAUUUACGGUGUAGCGGUGAAAUGCGUAGAUAUCAGAAGGAACGCCGGUGGCGAAAGCGACUCUCUGGCCCGUAUCUGACGCUGAGGCGCGAAAGCUUGGGUAGCAAACGGG